rnacentral:rRNA from 1 species
CGGAUUAGCGGCGGACGGGUGAGUAACACGUGAGUAACCUGCCUUAGACAUUGGGAUAGCCUCGGGAAACCGGGAUUAAUACCAAAUAAAAUCAUAAUGACACAUGUCAUAACGAUCAAAACUCCGGUGGUCUAAGAUGGACUCGCGUCCCAUCAGCUAGUUGGUAGAGUAAAAGCCUACCAAGGCGACGAUGGGUAGCCGGCCUGAGAGGGUGAACGGCCACAUUGGAACUGAGAAACGGUCCAA